UGCAAGUCGAACGGUGAAGCGAGAGCUUGCUCUCGUGGAUCAGUGGCGAACGGGUGAGUAACACGUGAGUAACCUGCCCCAGACUCUGGGAUAAGCCUUGGAAACGAGGUCUAAUACCGGAUACGAGACGAGAUCGCAUGGUCAUCGUCUGGAAAGAAUUUCGGUCUGGGAUGGACUCGCGGCCUAUCAGCUUGUUGGUGAGGUAAUGGCUCACCAAGGCGACGACGGGUAGCCGGCCUGAGAGGGCGACCGGCCACACUGGAACUGAGACACGGUCCAGACUCCUACGGGAGGCAGCAGUGGGGAAUAUUGCACAAUGGGCGCAAGCCUGAUGCAGCGACGCCGCGUGGGGGAUGAAGGCCUUCGGGUUGUAAACCCCUUUCAGCAGGGAAGAAGCGAAAGUGACGGUACCUGCAGAAGAAGCGCCGGCUAACUACGUGCCAGCAGCCGCGGUAAUACGUAGGGCGCAAGCGUUGUCCGGAAUUAUUGGGCGUAAAGAGCUCGUAGGCGGUUUGUCGCGUCUGCUGUGAAAACCCGAGGCUCAACCUCGGGCCUGCAGUGGGUACGGGCAGACUAGAGUGUGGUAGGGGAGACUGGAAUUCCUGGUGUAGCGGUGGAAUGCGCAGAUAUCAGGAGGAACACCAAUGGCGAAGGCAGGUCUCUGGGCCACUACUGACGCUGAGGAGCGAAAGCAUGGGGAGCGAACAGGAUUAGAUACCCUGGUAGUCCAUGCCGUAAACGGUGGGCACUAGAUGUGGGGCUCUUUUCCAUGAGUUCCGCGUCGCAGCUAACGCAUUAAGUGCCCCGCCUGGG
rnacentral:rRNA from 1 species